GUUGUCGUGCCCGAGUGGUUAAGGCAAUGGACUAGAAUUCCAUUAGGAUCUUCCUGCGCAGGUUUGAAUCCUGCCGACAAUG